GAUGAACGCUGGCGGCGUGCUUAACACAUGCAAGUCGAACGAGUUCCUGGAGCUUGCUCCAGGCGCUAGUGGCGGACGGCUGAGUAACGCGUGGGUGACCUGCCCCGAAGUGGGGAAUAACUGCCCGAAAGGGUGGCUAAUACCGCAUGUGAUCGUUCAUUCAUUUGAUCGAUCAAAGCAGUAAUGCGCUUUGGGAGGGGCCUGCGUCCGAUUAGCUCGUUGGUGGGGUAAUGGCUCACCAAGGCGACGAUCGGUAGGUGGUCUGAGAGGACGAUCACCCAGACUGGGACUGAGACACAGCCCAGACUCCUACGGGAGGCAGCAGUCGGGAAUUUUGCUCAAUGGGGGAAACCCUGAAGCAGCAACGCCGCGUGAGGGAUGAAGGCCUUCGGGUUGUAAACCUCUUUUCUCAGGGACGAUGAUGACGGUACCUGAGGAAUAAGCCACGGCUAACUACGUGCCAGCCGCCGCGGUAA
rnacentral:rRNA from 1 species